AAUAUUCCAUUGGAUGAGCUUGUUUCCAUUCAUCCAGUUCCUCAAAAGUUGACUCCUGAAGUUUGGGAAGCAUUGUGCCAUUAUUGGAACACUAAUGAGAAAAUUUCAAAAAUUAAUCAAGAAAAUGCGAAGAAAAAAAGAGGGAGUCAUGCGCUGGGUCGUACAAAUAUUCCAUCCUUGGAGCAUAAAUUUUUUCAGGAAAAGGGGAGAAAACCUACUCGCAUUGAGAUAAUAAAAAUAAGUCGUCGAAGUAAAAAGAAAGGAGAUGCUCCUGUUGAUGAUGAAGUGAUCCGAGUUGAGGCUUUACUAGAUGAAGCUGUGCGGCGUCGACUUCAAGACAAGCCUGAGGGAACUCAACCUACAGAAGUGCAUGAGGACGCAUUUCGUGAUGUUUUUGGACCCGAACAUUCUGGCCGAGUUC